AGCCCGCCAAGAAGCGACCCCUCCGGGGCGAGCUGAGCGGCGUGCAGCGGGGCGUCAUCCGUCAGCUCACAUAGUGACGCAGGCAGUGCGACCUGGCUCGCACCAACCACACGGGGCUCAUUCUCAGCGCGGCUAC
rnacentral:misc_RNA from 1 species